GUCCCCUUCGUCUAGAGGUUAGGACAUCGCCCUUUCACGGCGGUAACAGGGGUUCGAAUCCCCUAGGGGACGCCA
rnacentral:tRNA from 1 species